rnacentral:rRNA from 1 species
GACGAACGCUGGCGGCGUGCUUAACACAUGCAAGUCGAACGAAGUGGCGAACGGGUUAGUAAUACGUGGGUAUCCUCCCCUCCUUUUUGGGAUAAGCCUUGGCAACGGCGUCUAAUACCGAAUAAAGGGGGGUGGGCUCGCGGCCUAUCAGCUUGUUGGUGGGGCGAUGGCAUACCAAGGCGGAGACGGGUAGCCGACCUGAGUAGGUGGUCGGCCAGAGUGGGAGUGAAGUACGGCCCAGGCUGCUGCGGUGGGCAGCAGUCGGGGAGAUUGCAAAAUGGGCGAAAGCCUGAUGGAGCGACGCCGGGUGGGGGAUGAAGGCUAUAGGGUUGUAAACCUCUUUCGCUAUCGAACGGGUAGGGGGAGAAGAGGCGCCGGCUAACUACGUGCCAGCGGCGCGGUAAUUC